GAUGAACGCUAGCGGGAGGCCUAACACAUGCAAGCCGAGCGGUAUUGUUUCUUCGGAAAUGAGAGAGCGGCGUACGGGUGCGUAACACGUGUGCAACCUGCCUUUAUCUGGGGGAUAGCCUUUCGAAAGGAAGAUUAAUACUCCAUAAUAUAUUGAACGGCAUCGUUUAAUAUUGAAAGCUCCGGCGGAUAGAGAUGGGCACGCGCAAGAUUAGCUAGUUGGUGAGGUAACGGCUCACCAAGGCGAUGAUCUUUAGGGGGCCUGAGAGGGUGAUCCCCCACACUGGUACUGAGACACGGACCAGACUCCUACGGGAGGCAGCAGUGAGGAAUAUUGGUCAAUGGGUGCAAGCCUGAACCAGCCAUCCCGCGUGAAGGACGACUGCCCUAUGGGUCGUAAACUUCUUUUGUAUAGGGAUAAACCUACCCUCGUGAGGGUAGCUGAAGGUACUAUACGAAUAAGCACCGGCUAACUCCGUG
rnacentral:rRNA from 1 species